UACGUAGGGGGCUAGCGUUGUCCGGAAUUAUUGGGCGUAAAGCGCGCGCAGGUGGUUUCUUAAGUCUGAUGUGAAAGCCCACGGCUCAACCGUGGAGGGUCAUUGGAAACUGGGGAACUUGAGUGCAGAAGAGGAAAGUGGAAUUCCAAGUGUAGUGGUGAAAUGCGUAGAGAUUUGGAGGAACACCAGUGGCGAAGGCGACUUUCUGGUCUGUAACUGACACUGAGGCGCGAAAGCGUGGGGAGCGAACAGG
rnacentral:rRNA from 1 species